ACAUGCAAGUCGAACGCAGUAGCAAUACUGAGUGGCAGACGGGUGAGUAUAAUGUGGGAAUCUGCCUUUUGGUUUGGAAUAACUCGGGGAAACUUGAGCUAAUACCGGAUAAGCCCUUACGGGGAAAGAUUUAUCGCCAAAAGAUGAGCCCGCACUUGAUUAGCUUGUUGGUGAGGUAAAGGCUCACCAAGGCAACAAUCAAUAGCUGUUCUUAGAGGAAGACCAGCCACAUUGGGACUGAGACACGGCCCAGACUCCUACGGGAGGCAGCAGUGGGGAAUCUUGCACAAUGGGGGAAACCCUGAUGCAGCGAUGCCGCGUGAGUGAAGAAGGCCUUUGGGUUGUAAAACUCUUUCGUCGGGGAAGAAAAUGACUGUACCCGAAUAAGAAGGUCCGGCUAACUUCGUGCCAGCAGCCGCGGUAAUACGAAGGGACCUAGCGUAGUUCGGAAUUACUGGGCUUAAAGAGCUCGUAGGUGGUUAAAAAAGUUGGUGGUGAAAUCCCAAGGCUCAACCUUGGAACUGCCAUCAAAACUUUUUAGCUAGAGUGUGAUAGAGGAAAGUGGAAUUUCUAGUGUAGAGGUGAAAUUCGUAGAUAUUAGAAAGAACACCAAAAGCGAAGGCAACUUUCUGGAUCACUACUGACACUGAGGAGCGAAAGCAUGGGUAGCGAAGAGGAUUAGAUACCCUCGUAGUCCAUGCUGUAAACGAUGUGUGCUAGACGUUGGAAAUUUUAUUUUCAGUGUCGCAGCAAAAGCGUUAAGCACACCGCCUGGGGAGUACGACC
rnacentral:rRNA from 1 species